UUGGGACUGAGACACGGCCCAAACUCCUACGGGAGGCAGCAGUGGGGAAUAUUGGACAAUGGGCGCAAGCCUGAUCCAGCAAUGCCGCGUGUGUGAAGAAGGUCUUCGGAUUGUAAAGCACUUUCGACGGGGACGAUGAUGACGGUACCCGUAGAAGAAGCCCCGGCUAACUUCGUGCCAGCAGCCGCGGUAAUACGAAGGGGGCUAGCGUUGCUCGGAAUGACUGGGCGUAAAGGGCGCGUAGGCGGUUCGGUUAGUUAGGCGUGAAAUUCCUGGGCUUAACCUGGGGACUGCGCUUAAUACAGCCGGGCUUGAGUUCGGAAGAGGGUAGUGGAAUUCUCAGUGUAGAGGUGAAAUUCGUAGAUAUUGGGAAGAACACCGGUGGCGAAGGCGGCUACCUGGUCCGAUACUGACGCUGAGGCGCGAAAGCGUGGGGAGCAAACAGGAUUAGAUACCCUGGUAGUCCACGCUGUAAACGAUGUGUGCUGGAUGUUGGGCGACCUAGUCGCUCAGUGUCGUAGCUAACGCGAUAAGCACACCGCCUGGGGAGUACGGCCGCAAAGGUUGAA
rnacentral:rRNA from 1 species